GAAAUCGAGAGCUUCAUGUGGACAUCCCUCCUGAAGCUGAGUACUCAGUGGAAGAGGUCUGCCUUCCUCCCAAAAGGAUGAUUGUUCUUCUGUCAAGGAUAUAUGAAUGGCUGGCUGUACUCCUCUGCUAGAAAUUCCAAAUAAGUUCUCAAGGUCCAUUUUAGGAGAACAUAGGGUAGUCUAGCUUCCAAGACUCCGUGUAAUUGUAAAGAAGAAUAU
ensembl:misc_RNA 7SK 7SK RNA